rnacentral:rRNA from 1 species
AUACGUAGGGUGCAAGCGUUAAUCGGAAUUACUGGGCGUAAAGCGUGCGCAGGCGGUUUUGUAAGACAGUGGUGAAAUCCCCGGGCUCAACCUGGGAACUGCCAUUGUGACUGCAAGGCUGGAGUGCGGCAGAGGGGGAUGGAAUUCCGCGUGUAGCAGUGAGAUGCGUAGAUAUGCGGGGGAACACCGAUGGCGAAGGAAAUCCCCUGGUCCUGCACUGACGCUCAUGCACGAAAGCGUGGGGAGCAAACAGGAUUAGAUACCCUGGUAGUCCACGCCCUAAACGAUGUCAACUGGUUGUUGGGGAUUUAUUUUCUCAGUAACGAAGCUAACGCGUGAAGUUGACCGCCUGGGGAGUACGGCCGCAAGGUUAAAACUCAAAGGAAUUGACGGGG